rnacentral:misc_RNA from 1 species
AACUUUCGGCAAUGGAUCUCUUGGUUCUCGCAUCGAUGAAGAACGCAGCGAAACGCGAUAGGUAAUGAGAAUUGCAGAAUUCCGUGAAUCAUCGAAUCUUUGAACGCACAUUGCGCCUACUGGUAUUCCGGUAGGCAUAUCUGUUUGAGAGUCAGCAAAAACCUCUCAGCAUUAAGUUGUUGGUACUGGGCGGGGAGUUCACCAAGGCCUUUACCGGCCGGCUCCCCCCUUAAACUUGCUGCACGACCGCAAGCUAAGGCUAGGUUCAUGAAGUGGUAUUUACAUAUAUUUCAUAGCUAGGUCUUGGGCGAACGGCGUUAAACCCGAUGUCGCUUAACCGCGACUGAAGUUUGACCUCAAAUCAGAUAAGGAUACCCGCUGAACUUAAGCAUAUCAAUAAGCGGAGGCU